rnacentral:rRNA from 1 species
UACGGGGGGGGCAAGCGUUGUUCGGAAUUACUGGGCGUAAAGGGCUCGUAGGCGGCCAACUAAGUCGGACGUGAAAUCCCCAGGCUCAACCUGGGAACUGCGUCCGAUACUGGAUGGCUUGAAUCCGGGAGAGGGAUGCAGAAUUCCAGGUGUAGCAGUGAAAUGCGUAGAGAUCUGGAGGAACACCGAUGGCGAAGGCAGCCCCCUGGGCUAACACUGACGCUCAUGCACGAAAGCGUGGGGAGCAAACAGG